rnacentral:rRNA from 1 species
AGAGUUUGAUCAUGGCUCAGGACGAACGCUUGCGGCGUGCCUAAGAAAUGCAAGUCGAGCGGACAUCUUCGGAUGUUAGCGGCGAACGGUCGCGUAACACGUAGGCAACCUGCCCCAAAGUGGGGGAUAACAGCCCGAAAGGGCUGCUAAUACCGCAUGUGGCCAACGGGAGGCAUCUCCUGUUGUCUAAAGCAGCAAUGCGCUUUGGGAUGGGCUUGCGGCCUAUCAGCUAGUUGGUGAGGUAAUGGCUCACCAAGGCGACGACGGGUAGCUGGUCUGAGAGGACGAUCAGCCGGAUUGGGACUGAGAUACGGCCCAGACUCCUACGGGGGGCAGCAAUUAGGAAUCUUGCGCAAUGGGGGAAACCCUGACGCAGCGACGCCGCGUGCGGGAUGAAGGCAUUCGUGUCGUAAACCGCUUUUGUCGGGGAAGAGAACGGACGGUACCCGACGAAUAAGCCCCGGCUAACUACGUGCCAGCAGCCGCGGUAAUACGUAGGGGGCGAGCGUUGUCCGAAGUUACUGGGCGUAAAGCGCGCGUAGGCGGUCCCUUAAGUCUGACGUGAAAGGUUCAGCGCUCAACGUGAACAGUGCGUUGGAUACUGGGGGACUUGAGUGCGGGAGGGGAGAGCGGAAUUCCUGGUGUAGCGGUGAAAUGCGUAGAUAUCAGGAGGAACACCGAUGGCGAAGGCAGCUCUCUGGCCUGUAACUGACGCUGAGGUGCGAAAGCGUGGGGAGCGAACAGGAUUAGAUACCCUGGUAGUCCACGCCGUAAACGAUGAGUGCUAGGUGUCAGGGGUA